UAGAAGAAAAGUGGAGAAAGAAAAGAGGAAAAGGGGAAGAACAAGGGAGAAGCUAGGGUUCCAGAAAAAAAUGAAGAGGUAAGGGGAAGAAUCUUUAUUAUUAUGGGUUAGUCUAAUUGGGUCAAUGGGGUAGAAACAUGUUUAGGUUGAAAUCCUUAAUUUUUAUGGUUUUGAAAUUGUUAGGUUUUGAUAAAUAAUCUUUGUUUUGUGAUGAUUAAUUGUGUUGGAAUUGAUAUAUUGGUGAAAUUGGGAGAUUAUUAGAAUGAUAUAUAUUUCGUUUCUUUAUAUUACUUUCAUAUGGGGAUGCUACUUGUUUCUAUGCUAUGCACCCUGUUCACCUACUGUAGCGAGAACAUAAAAAAAAAAGGAGUGAUAUAUAUUUCUUAUACUACGAUAGUGUAACAUGAAAGUGGACUAUAUUAUAUCCUAUUUAUUUACUGUGUAGUAAAAGAUACAAGUGCUUAUAUGCAUAUCAUCAUUCACUGUAGCGCAAAGAGAUAAAUAAGUGAUAUAAGUGGCUUUCACUUACUGUAGUACAAGUAUACUACAUAUUUUCUACAAUUCCCUAUAUCAUAAAAAGAAAGAAAGUAACCCACUUGCAAAUCCUAUGUGAAUUUCGCCCCUUUAUACUAUUCUUGUAGAAAUGCUAUUUAUUUUUUUUCACUAUAAUUCAAAACAGUUCCGUUUGACCAAAAUAGCUUAAUUAAACGGUAUAAUUAGUUGUCCGGAAUUUAAUGAAAAUUUAUGUGGUAGCUAAGUUUAACUAGUAGAUUAACAUGGUGGUGUUAUUUUGUUGAAAAUGUGAUAUUUACGGACCGACCGAAAUAGUAUGAAUUUCAAUAUCUUUUAUAUUAAAUAUUGGCUUUAGAAUAGAAAAUGAAUUAGAAACUUGGAACUAAUGUAGUGUAAUUAUUAAUUGGUUGAUUUAAUUGAUAGUUAAAUUAACUGCAAUGAGUUUAAUUGAUUGGAAUAUACUUGAAGUUGGAUCGAUUAUUCGGUUUGUCGGUAGAUUACGAUAUUUUGAGGAUUCGUCCGUAAUUGUGUUUUGGCUUGAAUAUGUAUGUUGAGAAUAACAUAUGUAUAUGCCAUGAUGUUGUGCGAAUAUUGAUUUCUAUGGUUAGUUGGUUGGCAUUAAAUUAAUGAUUAAUUGCUUGAUGUUGAAAGUGUGUAUUCAUGUAUAAUUGGCAAAAUGAGAAUUAACAUGAGAUAGUAUGGAUACUAGUGUUAAUUGGAUUGUGUGAAUCGUAAUUGAUUAAUUGACCUCUUAUAUGUGAAUAAUGUGUGUGUGUGUGUGUUGUGAAUGUUGUGUACAUUUGGUGGAUAAUUCAUAGAGUUGAAUUAUUGAGAUAUGCGGAAAGUUAAGAUGGUAGAGAUGAUCUUAGUUACAUAUAUUUGUGAUAUUGUACAUACAUUCAUAUCAUAGUGUGCCUUGAAACACAGGUGGAUUUGCUUUGAAACACAAGCGGGCUUGGAUUAUAGAGUGAAUCGGAAGCCGUAAACUAUAUGUUUACAAUUGGUGGACUUUGGUCUUGUCCGGAUCGGAAGUGUGGCUUAGAUUCUAGAGAUAUGAAUCGGAGGCCGGUGAAACUUAGAAUUUCACAUUGGUACCACAUGCAUAGUGUCACAUGUUUCAUUGAGUCACAUUAGAGUUAUGUGAUAGUUGAUUAUGUGCAUUAUGUUGUCGUGAUAUAUGCAUGAUUGUGAUAAUUGAUUAUGUGCAUUAUGCUUUGUGAUACGUGUACGAGUGAACAAUUGAUUAUGUGCAUUGAUGUCGUAAUGCUAUGUGUAUGAGUUUGGUAAUUGAUUAUGUACACUUGGUGUUGUAGUGACAUUUUAUUGGUUGAUAAUUUAGAAUGGGUGAUGUUUGGAUACAUAAUUGGUUAAACGUGGGAUUAUGUGAUAAUUAUGGUUAUGUGCCUAAUUGAGAAUAUAGCAUUGAGGUAUUAUGGAAAUAGAUCCUCUCCUGCUCCUUUCUUAUGCCUUCCCUCUCAUGCUUCAUCUAGUGGCUGAAAAUUGAUAAAAUUUAUUUAGAUAAAAUGAUGUUGUUUUGAAAAGUGUGAAAAAGAUAGAUGAAUGGUUAAGAUUGAUGGCUGAAUGGAAGCAGUAGAUAAUUCACUGCAGAGGAUCCAAAUCCGAGGUUCUGGCAUUUAGUAGCUCUUGCGAGACUUAGCUGGAGUUUCUUUUGUGUUUGUUGGAGAUUAGGUGGUGAGUCGAUGCUCUGGUCAUGUAACACUGGGUAGACUAGACGUGUUGAACUCAUGUUUUAUUUGUUUAUGUAUUAUAUUAUGACUCGUGAAUCUGCUCAUUGUUUACUUGUUGUUCGGAAGGCUUUUAAGCCAAAUAUUAUGAUUAUGGUUUAUUUUAUGUUGAGAUACUUAUUGAGAUAUGAUCAUGGUAUGGGACAUGAAUCAUUUGAAAUACAUGAGUAUUUUUAGUACUUUCCGCUGUGAAUGCAUAUUCUGUAUGAAUUGUAAUUAAAUGUUUAGGUGUUAUUUGGAAUGACCAGGUGUAUUGUAUAUUGUGGAUAAAUGCUGUCGGUUUUUAAAAGCUUUUAGUUUUUGAAAACGUCGAUGUGACGCCCUUUUGAAUUAUAUGCAUGCUUAUUCUCUGAUUAUAUGCUUAAUUAUUUUUGGGGUAUAAAAGGGGUGUUACAUUAGUGGUAUCAGAGCCUGGUCGACCAGUUGGUCAAUAGUCGUUAAUGUUAUCUAAUCCUGUUGUAUUUGAUUUGUGUAUUUGACAAGAUCGAUACUGUUUUGUCUGGUUGUUUGGUUGUUUAGGACGAUGGCUGCGGGAAGGAAUGUUGACAUUAAUAUUGAGGCAAUGAUGAGGUGGACUGGUGCGAUUGGACAAGCGCCGCAAGAGAAUGUCGGUUAUGGAGGAAAGGAUGAGUUUCGUGCUUUUGGAGACUUUCAAAGGUGCAACCCGCCGAUCUUUGAAGGAGGGUAUGGACCAGACAAAGCGCACGCAUGGAUGAGAGAAAUUGAGAAGAUCUUUCAAGUCGUCAGUUGUACUGAUGUACAGAAGGUACAGUUUGGUACUCACAUGAUGACAAAAGAAGCUGACGUUUGGUGGAGUAAUACUGUACCGAGAUUUGAAAUAGAAGGUAUUGAAGUUACUUGGACUCUUUUCCGUGAUGUAUUUUUGGAAAACUAUUUUCCAGGAGAUGUGCGUGGAAAGAAAGAAGUGAGAAAUCUGGAUUUGAAGCAAGGAAGAGAACAAGUCUGUGGGAAACCGUAUGAUGACGUGGGGAAACAAUCGGGUUUUAGCAAGAAGCCAAGUGGGGGAGGAGCUUCUACUUUGAUUAAGUGCUACAGGUGUGGCGAGACGGGACACAAAAUUGUUGAUUGUGGAGUUGGUUCGAGUAGGAUUUGCUACAGUUGUGGUGAGCAAGGACACAAUUGUGCCAUGUACGAUAAGCCGAAGAAGGAUCAAGCGAAAGGAAGAGUGUUUGCGUUGUUUGGUGCUGAGACUACUUCUAAGGAUAAGUUAAUCUGAGGUUCUGGCAUUUAGUAGCUCUUGCGAGACUUAGCUGGAGUUUCUUUUGUGUUUGUUGGAGAUUAGGUAGUGAGUCGAUGCUCUGGUCAUGUAACACUGGGUAGACUAGACGUGUUGAACUCAUGUUUUAUUUGUUUAUGUAUUAUAUUAUGACUCGUGAAUCUGCUCAUUGUUUACUUGUUGUUCGGAAGGCUUUUAAGCCAAAUAUUAUGAUUAUGGUUUAUUUUAUGUUGAGAUACUUAUUGAGAUAUGAUCAUGGUAUGGGACAUGAAUCAUUUUAUGUAAUACAUGAGUAUUUUUAGUACUUUCCGCUGUGAAUGCAUAUUCUGUAUGAAUUGUAAUUAAAUGUUUAGGUGUUAUUUGGAAUGACCAGGUGUAUUGUAUAUUGUGGAUAAAUGCUGUCGGUUUUUAAAAGCUUUUAGUUUUUGAAAACGUCGAUGUGACGCCCUUUUGAAUUAUAUGCAUGCUUAUUCUCUGAUUAUAUGCUUAUUUAUUUUUGGGGUAUAAAAGGGGUGUUACAUCAACCAAUUGUAAUGUCUUCAUCUUUAAUCAUUGUUAUGUUAACAAUUGCCAUGAGUAACUAAACUUUUACUUGUUAGGAUUGAUGUCCCUGGAUUAUGUGAUGUACUGAAUAAUCUUUACCGUUAUUUUCGGAUUAUCUUUAUGAAAUUCAGUUUA